UACAUGUCAACCACAGCUUAUACCAAUAA
rnacentral:sRNA from 1 species